UGGGGAAUAUUGGACAAUGGGCGCAAGCCUGAUCCAGCCAUGCCGCGUGAGUGAUGAAGGCCCUAGGGUUGUAAAGCUCUUUCACCGGUGAAGAUAAUGACGGUAACCGGAGAAGAAGCUCCGGCUAACUUCGUGCCAGCAGCCGCGGUAAUACGAAGGGGGCUAGCGUUGUUCGGAUUUACUGGGCGUAAAGCGCACGUAGGCGGACUUUUAAGUCAGGGGUUAAAUCCCGGGGCUCAACCCCGGAACUGCCUUUGAUACUGGAAGUCUAGAGUAUGGUAGAGGUGAGUGGAAUUCCGAGUGUAGAGGUGAAAUUCGUAGAUAUUCGGAGGAACAACAGUGGCGAAGGCGGCUCACUGGACCAUUACUGACGCUGAGGUGCGAAAGCGUGGGGAGCAAACAGG
rnacentral:rRNA from 1 species